GAGGAUAUGACCUUUGGUUCACCUUUGGGCUGGAACCCAGGCAAUCAGAGGUUCCUCCCUUCCUCCCACCUCUUCCACAGCUGAAGCGGUUUUCCAGGGCACAGCGUUGAGAGAGCAGUGAGCUCUUGAGAACAUCUGCUGAAUCCAGUUAAGGCCUCUAUAUAAACUCUUAAGAUGGGGGAGGUGCGUGUGGAUGAUUUCUAGUUUUGCAGUGUUUGUGAGAAGCUGCGUAGAUCGUGUCUUCACUCUGAAAGAUGGAUGUUGGCUAUUGGAAUGCUGUGUUGAAGAUUGUGAGGUUGCAUGUGAGAUCAGCAGGAAAGGACACCGUGAUCUGACAACUGAUGAAUGCUGGGCCCUGACCAAUGAUGUGAAGACUGUGCCUGCUUCUAGGAACACAGGAGCCAAGUGAAACCAUUCGAUAGACACAUCUAGACACCAACUAUAUGAUGAUAAUUACAAUGAUAAUCACGGAGACUUAAUAUGUUCCAGGUACUUUGCUAGGUUCUUUAAUCAUCUAAACUUGAUGCUCAUAAAAAUUCUAUGGGAUAAACAUUGGUAUAUUAUAUUAGCAUUCCCAUUUAAUAGAUGAGGAAAAUAAAGCAUAGGUUAAUGAAUUCUAUACUGCUUUCUCAAGAAGGAUAUAGAGUUAUCUAGCUUCACCCUUUAAAAAUGACUUUUAGGGGCACCUGGGUGGCUUGGUCGGUUAAUGAGCUCAUGGUCCAUGAGUUCGAGCUCCGUGUUGGGCUCUGUCCUGACGGCUCAGAGCCUGGAGCCUGUUUCGGAUUCUGUGUCUUCCUCUCUCUCUGACCCUCCCCCGUUCAUGCUCUGUCUCUCUCUGUCUCAAAAAUAAACGUUAAAAAAAUGACUUUUAUAAUGCUUUUCAAAAUUAGUACAUUAAAUAAAUGCUUUGAAUUGAAAACCCCUAUUAAUAAUAGCACUAGGUGCAAAGCAUACCACAUAAUCAGCCACUAAAACCCUAACAUCAGUUGUUUUAUCUGAUUAGGAUGGAUGGAUGAGUUUUUCUCUUUGAAGACAGUUGGGUUUCAUGAACAGUUAGUGAACAAACUGAAAGAAAUGGAGCAAAAAGGGUGAUUCCAAAAUUGUGGAGAAAAGGCACAUAUUGCCUAUGGCAAGGGGAACUGGGUGACUGGGGAAGGGGAUCAGAAAAAGUCUCCUAUUUUAAGAAAAAAGAACUCUCCUGCACUGUUGGUGGGAAUGUAAAUUGGUGCAGCCUUAGUGUAAAACACUAUUGAGGGUUCCCCCAAGAAAUGAAAAAUAGAGGUAUCAUGAUCCAGGAAUUCCAAUACUUGUUAUUUAUCCAAAGAAAAUGAAAACACUAAUUUGAUAAGAUAAAUGCACAUUGAUUGAGCAUUGCUCAAUUGAUGAUUAUUGCUACGUUAUUUAUAAUGAUCAAGAUAUGGAAGCAGCUUAUAAGUCACCAACAGGUAAAGAAGAUUAUGUGUG